rnacentral:rRNA from 1 species
GACGAACGCUGGCGGCGUGCUUAACACAUGCAAGUCGAACGGAGUGGCGAACGGGUGAGUAACACGUGGGUGAACUGCCUUGCACGUCGGGAUAAGCUUGGGGAACUGGGUCUAAUACCGGAUAGUGCAAGAUGAGCUCUCGGCCAAGCAGCUUGUUGGUGGGGUAAUGGCCUACCAAGGCGUCGACGGGUAGCCGGCCUGGGAGGGUGUACGGCGACAUUGGGCCUGAGAGACGGCCCAGAGUCCUACGGGAGGCAGCAGUGGGGAAUAUUGCACAAUGGGCGGAAGCGUGAUGCAGCGACGCCGGGUGGGGGAUGAAGGCCUUCGGGUUGUAAACUCCUUUCGACAGGGACGCGGUACCUGUAUAAGAAGCACCGGCUAACUACGUGCCAGCAGCCGCGGUAAUAC